UAAUUAUAAAACAUCUACUUCUCUUAGGUAUAAAAAAUGUUCUCAGAAUGAAUUAGAAAGUAUCAAUUGUUUUCAUUUCCUCUCCUUUCCUAUUCUCCUUCUUCUUCUUUUACUUCUUGUAUUCUGCCUCGUUUUUCCUGAUGAUUUAUGCCUAUUAGUUCAAUGAGAGCUGGACCCUUUAUAUUCAUGACUAACAUGGGCCUCUGGGAAUCAAGUAAUCUAUAGAAAGUAAAUUUGAUUUAGAAAUCUCUAUUUAAAAGAGCAAGUUUUCAAGAUAUGUCUCUCAUCCUAGAAAGGUUCUAUGGUUAAUGCUGCUAUGUCUUAUUACUGGUGAUGGCUUAAACACUGGGUUCAGAUGGUGUUUGCCAGAUUUUUUUACUGUAAUUUUAUUUUUUUCCUUUUAUAAUUAGUUAAUACUUUGGGAGAAGAACCCUAACGCUAGAUAAAUCUAUUUAUCACUAAUUUUUUGGCUCAGUAAUUUUUAACUAUAGUCACUCUACAGUAUUAUAGAAUACUAGAACUUAUUCCUGUUAUCUAGCUGUAAUGUUUUAUCCAUUAACCAAUCCAUCCCUAUCCCCCACAUUUCUCAGCCUCUAGUUACCACUAUUCUACUUUCUAUUUUUAUGAGAUCAACUUAGCUUCCACAUA
rnacentral:lncRNA from 1 species